AAGUCGUACUCUUACAUGGAAGGGGAGCCUGAGGAUGAUGUCUAUUUAAAACAGUUAUACCCAAGGCAGAUAUAUGAUGUGGAGAAAGCUAUUCCCUUACUUAAGAAAUUUCAAAUUCUUGACUUUACUAAUCCAAGGCAAGGUGUUUAUCUUGAUUGGACAUUGGAUAUGGCACUGGGAAAGAAGAAAAAGUGGAACCAUUUGCCAGUGUUGUUAGGUUACCAUCCCAUUCUCUUCAGAAAUCAAUAAAGUUGCUGUAUUUACAGGGAAUGCAGAAAAGGUUAAAAUACCAGAAGAAAAUAGAGCUGCUUUUAUAGGAGGAACUGAUCUGAUGCAGAAGAUAUUUUUGUUUAUUUUGGAUGAUGAAGUUCAUGUAGACUUUUAUGUAGCUGUCCCAGAAAUAAUGCCUGAGCUUCACCCAUUAAGGAAGAAAUGGAAAAAAAAUUUCCAAAGCUAAGUCGAAAUUGGCUGUGACAUCUCCAAAAUGCUUGAACUACUUCAAUAUGGACUUGAAAUUAAGGUAAAUGAAAAAAGGGAGAACUUUCUGAAGACCGAAAUAGCAGCAUUGAAUAUGUCAAGUGACCAGAUAAUUGCCAAUCUGCAAGCAGUUAUUGAUGAAGUUUGUAAGCACAGACCACUGAGCUUGGGUCCCUUUGUGGUACGUGCUUUCCUUCAUUCUUCAACAAGUGAAGGGUUGUUACUAAAGAUGGAUCCAUUUUUGCCUAAAGAAGUAAAAGCUGAAGAAAGUAACAAAGAAGCUGCCUAAAUGUGUUGAAUUGUGAAAUUAUUUUUAGUGGAUGAAGAAGCAACAGAGA